CCAUAAAUUGUAGUAGUCAAUCUCUCACACGGGUAACAAAAGGUUUCGGGGAUUCUCGUUUUGAAAAAUAUGUUGAGGUUGUAAUAGAGCAGAUGAGACUGCUAUUGUUUUUUUGUUUUUUAGGGUUUUAAAUUUGAGAAUUUAAAUCCCCAUAUUUGAGUGCGGGAUUAUACUGGUGAUGUUACAGAGAGGGAGAUCGUGGUGUGGGGAAGAGUGAGUUUUUUUAAAGAAGGUGGUGGUUGUUUUUAGUAGGGGUGUUCAAAAUAACCGAUUAACC
rnacentral:lncRNA from 1 species